rnacentral:rRNA from 1 species
CCUACGGGCGGCAGCAGUGGGGAAUAUUGGACAAUGGGGGGAACCCUGAUCCAGCCAUGCCGCGUGUGUGAAGAAGGCCCUCGGGUUGUAAAGCACUUUCAGUGAGGAAGAACGCCUGGUGGUUAAUACCGAUCAGGAAAGACAUCACUCACAGAAGAAGCACCGGCUAACUCCGUGCCAGCAGCCGCGGUAAUACGGAGGGUGCGAGCGUUAAUCGGAAUUACUGGGCGUAAAGCGCGCGUAGGUGGCUUGAUAAGCCGGUUGUGAAAGCCCCGGGCUCAACCUGGGAACGGCAUCCGGAACUGUCAAGCUAGAGUGCAGGAGAGGAAGGUAGAAUUCCCGGUGUAGCGGUGAAAUGCGUAGAGAUCGGGAGGAAUACCAGUGGCGAAGGCGGCCUUCUGGACUGACACUGACACUGAGGUGCGAAAGCGUGGGUAGCAAACAGGAUUAGAUACCCCUGUAGUC